rnacentral:lncRNA from 1 species
UUCAUCUCCAUUUACAGCCAUUUAUUUGGGAGCAACAUACUUUAAAUGAGUGAUAAACAAAAUGUCUCCCCACAGCCCCCACCCCAGCAUGUGUUCUGAAGUUCACAGGAAGGCUUCUCCUCAUUUGCUUUGGGGCCCGCAGGCUGCCUGCUAACAGCUGGGUCUUCCCAUGAACAAAUUAGACAGUUAAUGUUCCAGGAUGAAGAGGGCUUCGGGGAACAGAAUCUGCCGUUUAUUUGACUUGCUUCAUUAGACACAGUGCCAUCAUACCAAAAUUAGAAAAAAGAAGGAACUCAGCGGAAAUCAGCUACACAAGAAGAACCUCUCAGUUCUGAGAAUUCACAUUAACCAGUGAUUAAGAAAUAUUAAAAAGGUAUAGUUCUUGGCUGUGCUGAGGAUCUGUAAGGCACCAGAUGUGAAAGUAAGGAAGAAAGAUGGAUGUGGAAGAAAGUCACUGCCCAGAGAAUAAGGAGACCUGGAUUCUAAUCUCAGCUCUGCCAUUAACUAGCUAUGAAACUAUGGCUCAAAAGGGAAUAAGAGAUCAAGGCAAGCAUGGACAUCUUGUUGCCAGUAAUGAUGUUUCUGGUGAUCUGGCUCAGAAGGCUGAGCUGAUGAGUGAUCACUCAGAAAUACUGAAUCAGGCAAUGGAAAUUCUGAAUCGGUGGGCUCUGGAGAAGGAACUGAGGGCGAGGUGACUCGGGGCCGGAGGGCUAUUAUGGACUAUGGACAAGCUGAAGGCAUGGGAAGCCUGACCAGUAGAUAGAGGAAUAUGAACUUGGUGGACAGGGAAAAGCAGGGACGUCAUGAACGAAAGACCACAGACCCUCUGUUCUAGUCCAUGGGGCCAGGCUGUGCUCCACUGCCUACUCUUGGAUUCCCC